GUCAAAGGUGAUUCCCUCUCCAAGGGGCGACCUAGUGCCCCUCUCAGGAACGUAGCAACUUGCAAUAAAAUGUGGCAAGCCCAAGGUCAGCAAGAGAGAGGGGAUGUUUAUCAUUUUGCCUUCCUUUGGCAGCUGACAUAC
rnacentral:snoRNA from 1 species